CAGAACUAUAACUUUAUUUGCGGAAACAAUUCUGUUAAACUUCUACAGGCCAACAUUAGUUAUGUUAAAUGAUGAACAGUUUACCUCAAACGGCCAUUCUACGUGUAACUUACUCGCAUGAUCGUGUUAAAGUAUCUGAGACGACAGAUUAAUACAGUUUUAUUAAGUAUCAGACAGUGACGGAAGGCUGAAUUAUGUGAAUAUCUGUGAAAAUAGAGGAAAGAGUAGUUUCUGACACUGAAAAGCGAAUUUAACAAUUAAGUGAGUCAAAAUAAGUGAAUACGACUUUUUGCUCUAAUGUAAACGCCUGCAGUUGUCCAUAUCGACAUGUAAAUCAUACAAAUUACGUACAUGUCGCCGGACCGCAGGUCUAAAAGAACCGACGAUCCGGUUCAAAUAAACCGGUUCAUCAAUUCCCGGACAAAGUGAUUCCCGGAAAAGAAUCGACGUCUCAGGGCCUCGAUAAAGUGCGCGCACGCACAGCGAGUGCCGGAGGCCGCGUUAGUGAGGUGAUUUUUGAUGCCUGUGUGGUUUAUAAAGUCUUUUUACAUACGUAAAUAAAGGUUUUUGGUAAGUCAUAAUUCAAAAUGUUUUUUUCUUGUCAGAAGAGCACAUGGAUACAUUUGUGAGAGAAAAACUCGUCGAAUGCAGACUUAUCGAGACGUCUAACCGUUGGAACAAACUUGGAAUUCCUUAACAGAGCAGAGUCCACGAAACCCCAUCCAUUUGUCAUGGCAAUUUGGAAAAUGCCAGCAGAUCUAUCAGACAUUGAUCAUAAUAAAUGGACAGGUCACCUUAGCCACCCGGAUCCAGUCUGUAUCCAGAUCAGAUGGUGGAUCAGCACCUAGAGAUGACCUCUACAGCCCUGAAUGUCAGUGGAGACCAGGGCAAUUAGAUGAGCCCCAGAGACAGAUCCCCAGUAAAGACCUUGUCUCCUAGAUGGACAUCGGC
ensembl:lncRNA